rnacentral:rRNA from 1 species
GACGAACGCUGGCGGUAUGCUUAACACAUGCAAGUCGAACGAGAAGUUUUUUAUUGAACCUUCGGGGGAUAUAAGAGACAGACAGUGGCGAACGGGUGAGUAACGCGUGGGCAACCUACCUAUCGGAGCGGGAUAGCCUCGAGAAAUCGGGAGUAAAACCGCAUAACACGGAUAUAUCGCAUGAUGAAUCCGUCAAAACUCCGGUGCCGAUAGAUGGGCCCGCGUCUGAUUAGCUAGUUGGUAAGGUAAGGGCUUACCAAGGCAACGAUCAGUAGCCGGUCUGAGAGGGCGAACGGCCACACUGGAACUGAGACACGGUCCAGACUCCUACGGGAGGCAGCAGUGGGGAAUAUUGCGCAAUGGGGGCAACCCUGACGGAGCAAUACCGCGUGAGUGAAGAAGGUUUUCGGAUCGUAAAGCUCUGUUAUUGGGGAAGAAGCAGGACGGUACC